CCUAUCCUAAUUUUGUAGGUCAUAUACACAGCAUCAACGGUGGCUUUAAGAUACACCAGGACAUUACUGGCAUGUCGUAGUUUGUCUUGGUGCUUAGCAGCAUCCAUUAGAGAUCGAUCAGUGGCCCCAAGUUUACUUCAAGUGCUUCGUCCUCUUUCGUAGGAUUAUUCCUUGGGCACAAUUUAGCAUCAUGUUGCGAUCUCUUACUUUGCAGUGAGGUAAUCACCUCAAGAUGGUUAUGAGUUGCUUGCGCUCUGAGAUGACACAGUAUAGUAUAUGUCGCUGCAGUUGAAGCUCGUAUCCAUUCUCUCCUGCUCGCUCUCUGUAGUCUGUAGACAGGGGCAUGAUGAUGAUUGCAGCACCGGCUUCCAGAGGAAUAACAAAGAUUAAGACCCCACACCAUAUUCCCCACCGACAGACGAGCCCAUGAAACAACGACUAAGAGUUCGGUGAAGUGGAGCAUCCCGUCGUUGAUUUAUGGGCUGUGCCACGGUACAACAUUGGAUUCACUUGGUACGCAAUAUCUUAAGAAUCUAUUAACACACACACUCUCUCCAAUACAAGAUCGGAAAAGAACAAUACCGUGGCACAAAUCAGAUGCCGAAGCUGAACACCGAACGCUUACAGCAUCACUCUCGAAGGAGUAGAAUCAGCAAGCUGUUUUGCUAAUAACUCUGGCAAGAAAAGUAGAGACAAUUAUCAUCUUGUAUUCCACUGAUAAAUUAAUUACUUACGUAUUCUGUAAGAAAGAAUGUGAUGUACUUUUAC
rnacentral:lncRNA from 1 species